CGCCAGCGCUGUCCUGCUCCUUGGGGCUGUCCCCACCCCAGGGUCUGCCCGGUCCCGGCAGCUCCCUGGAACAGCCUUAAAAUGUAGGGAAAUGUUAACGGGGGCGGGAUUGAAGCUGGUCAGAUUUUAUGCCUCAUUAUAAUAUAAAGGUUUUAGGUGCCAUUUUUGGGGUGACAUUUUUUGGCUGUAGUUCUUGUGGGUGUCAUUUUUAGGUGCCAUUUUUGGGUAUCAUUUUUUGGGUGUCAUUUUUCGGUGUCAUUUUUAGGUGUCAUUUUUUUAGUGUUAUUUUUUGGGUGUCAUUUUUAGGUGCCAUUUUUGGGGGGUGUCAUUUUUUAGCUGUAGGUUUUUUGGGUGUCAUUUUUAGGUGCCGUUUUUGGGGAUGUCAUUUUUUGGGUGUCUAUUUUAGGUGCAGUUUUUUGGGGUGUAGUAUUCUGGGUGUCAUUUUUAGGUGUCAUUUUUGGGGGUGUCCUUUUUUGUGUGUAGUUUCUUGGGUGUAAUUUUUAGGAGCCAUUUUUGGGUGUAGUUUUUUGGGUGUCAUUUUUUAGGUGUAGGUUUUUUUGGUGUCAUUUUUAGGCACCAUUUUUGGGGUGUCAUUUUUGUGUGUCGUUUUUUUGGGUAUAAUUUUUUUGGUGUAGUUUUUUGGGUGUCAUUUUUAGGUGCCAUUUUUGGGUG
rnacentral:lncRNA from 1 species